rnacentral:rRNA from 1 species
AUUGAACGCUGGCGGCAGGCCUAACACAUGCAAGUCGAACGAGUGGCGGACGGGUGAGUAAUGUCUGGGAAACUGCCCGAUGGAGGGGGAUAACUACUGGAAACGGUAGCUAAUACCGCAUACCCUCGGAUGAUCCCAGGUGGGAUUAGCUAGUAGGUGGGGUAACGCCUCACCUAGGCGACGAACCCUAGCUGGGCUGAGAGGAUGACCAGCCACACUGGAACUGAGACACGGUCCAGACUCCUACGGGAGGCAGCAGUGGGGAAUAGUGCACAAUGGGCGCAAGCCUGAUGCAGACAUGCCGCGUGUAUGAAGAAGGCCUUCGGGUUGUAAAGUACUUUCAGCGAGGAGGCGUUACUCGCAGAAGAAGCACCGGCUAACUCCGUGCCAGCCGCCGCGGUAAUAC